rnacentral:lncRNA from 1 species
CUGGCAGCCGCACCCAUCUUCGUUCUCUGCCCUCUCUCUUGGAGCAACCACUAGUCGUUGCGACCAUUGGGCAUCACACUCACCAAUGCCACCUCCAGCAUCAUGCUCCUCCUCCCUCCAGUAGCCAUCAUGCCCAUCUCAGUGCUUUGUCUCCCUCUCGGAGCAACCACUGGCUGUCACAAUAGUUCGGGCAUCAUGCUUGUCAGUUGUCAUCGAUGCCACCUCGAUAACGUGCUCCUCCUCGCUCCACUAGCCAUUACGCCCAUCUCGACCAGCUCCACCAACCACCCCUCUGCAUACAUCUCCCUCACCCACUCCAAUAAUAUCCAAUCUUCAUCCUCCACCCUCAUGGUCCUCUCGAUCGGAUGUUGUCUGCACACUACCUCCAACACC